UGAGAGUUGACUGAGUUAAGGUGGUAAGCUGUAAACUUACUGACAGGAUUGUUCCUACUCUCAA
rnacentral:tRNA from 1 species